GUUGGCUACGGCGACAUCGUGCCGAAGACCUUCCUGGGCAAGCUGGUGGGCAGCGUCUGCUGCAUCUGCGGCGUGCUGGUGGUGGCGCUGCCCAUCCCCAUCAUCGUGAACAAC
rfam:Macrostomum lignano uti_cns_0012741, whole genome shotgun sequence.